UCAUGCUGUCAUGGAACCGGCUGGGCAUGCCUGCAGCGCCAGAUCAAGUGCUCGCGCAUAACUGGGGCCACCACGCCUCUGUGGUGGGGGGUGGGCAGCCCUUUUAAACGUGAGCGACAGCU
rnacentral:snoRNA from 1 species